AGUGAACGCUGGCGGCAUGCCUAAUACAUGCAAGUCGAACGGACAGACAAUAAGCUUUCUCCUUUACCGGUGGCGACUGGCGGAUGGGUAACACAUAAAUAAGCUACCAAUUAUUCUUGGGGGACUACGUAAGGCCACAUAUAAUACCAGAUAAUAUGUCCUACCGCAUGAAUCAAUGGUUAAUUGGGGUUUUGCUGUCACUUAUAGAUGAAUCCGUGUCGGAUUAGCUAGUUGGUAAGGUAAAGGCCCACCAAGGCGACGAUGCGUAGCUGAUCUGAGAGGAUGAUCAGCCACACUGGAACUGAGACACGGUCCAGACUCCUACGGGAGGCAGCAGUGGGGAAUAUUGGACAAUGGGCGCAAGCCUGAUCCAGCCAUACCGCGUGGGUGAAGAAGGCCUUCGGGUUGUAAAGCCCUUUUGUUGGGAAAGAAAAGCAGCAGGUUAAUACCCCGCUGUUCUGACGGUACCCAAAGAAUAAGCACCGGCUAACUUCGUG
rnacentral:rRNA from 1 species